rnacentral:sRNA from 1 species
UCUAACUUAAGCAACGCGAACCCUACCUACUUUCGCGUCCUUGUAGCCCUAUAGCCACGCCAGUAUGAAUAAGUAUCUUCAAAAACAC